CAACAAGCUUGCUUGUUGGGGUUGUAGGACUCCGAUAUGGUAGUCUGUUAGUAUAGUUGAAGGAUUUGGAAAAUUCCGCUAAAGAGGGUGAAAGCCCCGUAGACGAAAUGCUAACAACACCUAGGAGGAUCCUGAGUACGGCGGAACACGAGAAAUUCCGUCGGAAUCCGCGGGGACCAUCCCGCAAGGCUAAAUACUCCCUAGUGACCGAUAGUGAACCAGUACCGUGAGGGAAAGGUGAAAAGCACCCCGGAAGGGGAGUGAAAUAGAUCCUGAAACCGUGUGCCUACAACAAGUCAAAGCUCGUUAAUGAGUGAUGGCGUGCCUUUUGUAGAAUGAACCGGCGAGUUACGAUUGCAUGCGAGGUUAAGUCGAAGAGACGGAGCCGCAGCGAAAGCGAGUCUGAAUAGGGCGAAUGAGUAUGUAGUCGUAGACCCGAAACCAUGUGAUCUACCCAUGUCCAGGUUGAAGGUGCGGUAAAACGCACUGGAGGACCGAACCCACGUACGUUGAAAAGUGCGGGGAUGAGGUGUGGGUAGCGGAGAAAUUCCAAACGAACUUGGAGAUAGCUGGUUCUCUCCGAAAUAGCUUUAGGGCUAGCCUCGGAAUUGAGAAUGAUGGAGGUAGAGCACUGUUUGGACUAGGGGCCCAUCUCGGGUUACCGAAUUCAGAUAAACUCCGAAUGCCAUUCAUUCAUAUCCGGGAGUCAGACUGUGAGUGAUAAGAUCCAUAGUCGAAAGGGAAACAGCCCAGACCACCAGCUAAGGUCCCCAAAUAACUAUUAAGUGGAAAAGGAUGUGGGGUUGCACAGACAACUAGGAUGUUGGCUUAGAAGCAGCCACCAUUUAAAGAGUGCGUAAUAGCUCACUAGUCGAGUGACCCUGCGCCGAAAAUGUACCGGGGCUAAAUAGUUUACCGAAGCUGUGGAGUGCACCAUCAGGUGCAUUGGUAGGAGAGCGUUCUAAGGGCGUUGAAGGCAGAUCGUGAGGACUGCUGGAGCGCUUAGAAGUGAGAAUGCCGGUAUGAGUAGCGAAAGACAGGUGAGAAUCCUGUCCACCGAAUGACUAAGGUUUCCUGGGGAAGGCUCGUCCGCCCAGGGUUAGUCGGGACCUAAGCCGAGGCCGACAGGCGUAGGCGAUGGACAACAGGUUGAUAUUCCUGUACCCGUUGUUUUUGUUUGAGCAAUGGAGGGACGCAGGAGGCUAAGAAGUGCAGACUGAUGGAUAUGUCUGUUCAAGCAGUAAGUCUUGGUAGGAGUCAAAUGCUUCUACCUAUACGGACAAGCUGUGAUGAGGAGGGAAAUAAUAGUACCGAAGCUUCUGAUGUCACACUGCCAAGAAAAGCUUCUAGUGAGAAAACAACGGCCCGUACCGCAAACCGACACAGGUAGUCGAGGAGAGAAUCCUAAGGUGAGCGAGAGAACUCUCGUUAAGGAACUCGGCAAAAUGACCCCGUAACUUCGGGAGAAGGGGUGCUGCUCUAACGAGCAGCCGCAGUGAAUAGGCCCAAGCGACUGUUUAUCAAAAACACAGGUCUCUGCAAAAUCGAAAGAUGACGUAUAGGGGCUGACGCCUGCCCGGUGCUGGAAGGUUAAGAGGAGUGCUUAGCGUAAGCGAAGGUA
rnacentral:rRNA from 1 species